GAUGAACGCUGGCGGCGUGCCUAAUACAUGCAAGUCGAGCGAACAGACGAGGAGCUUGCUCCUCUGACGUUAGCGGCGGACGGGUGAGUAACACGUGGAUAACCUACCUAUAAGACUGGGAUAACUUCGGGAAACCGGAGCUAAUACCGGAUAAUAUAUUGAACCGCAUGGUUCAAUAGUGAAAGACGGUUUUGCUGUCACUUAUAGAUGGAUCCGCGCCGCAUUAGCUAGUUGGUAAGGUAACGGCUUACCAAGGCAACGAUGCGUAGCCGACCUGAGAGGGUGAUCGGCCACACUGGAACUUAGACCCGGUCCAGACUCCUACGGGAGGCAGCAGUAGGGAAUCUUCCGCAAUGGGCGAAAGCCUGACGGAGCAACGCCGCGUGAGUGAUGAAGGUCUUCGGAUCGUAAAACUCUGUUAUUAGGGAAGAACAAAUGUGUAAGUAACUAUGCACGUCUUGACGGUACCUAAUCAGAAAGCCACGGCUAACUACGUG
rnacentral:rRNA from 1 species